rnacentral:snRNA from 1 species
GGAUGUGAGGGCGAUCUGGCUGCGACAUCUGUCACCCCAUUGAUCGCCAGGGUUGAUUCGGCUGAUCUGGCUGGCUAGGCGGGUGUCCCCUUCCUCCCUCACCGCUCCAUGUGCGUCCCUCCCGAAGCUGCGCGCUCGGUCGAAGAGGACGACCUUCCCCGAUAGAGGAGGACCGUUCUUCGGUCAAGGGUAUACGAGUAGCUGCGCUCCCCUGCUAGAACCUCCAAACAAGCUCUCACAAAUGUUUGAAAUCCAAGGACCUGAAUAUAUGGUAGAGUCAGGUCUGACCAUCAUAGGUCCACGAUGGAGAUGUUU